ACUGCAUCAAAUAAAGGAUAAGAUGUGCAAGCCUGAAAUAGCUCCUUGGAGUGAUCUAUUGGCUGGUGGCACAGAGCUUCUUCCCUGCCGAGCGCCCAUCCCAAACCGCUCCAGUCCUAAACUGGAAAUAUGGCAGCAGAGAUAAUUCAGGUUCCAGGAAUCUGAUCUGGGUCAGGGCUACGAGUCUCAAAGACAAGUGCAGUACAGUCAUUUGGAAUUCUGGACUUCUGUCAGGGGAAUUUUUUCUUCUUCACGGAGAAAGAAAAAGAACAUUUUUGGCAUACAUAUUGCCUUGUUUGCAUAACCCUCAUUCAGCGUUUCCAGCUGCAAACAUUCUGCGGCUGGAAAUGACCCCUUAUUUGCUACCGAAGGGAGUGUUUCUGUGGAAUGAGUCGAGGGACCAACCUGUGUGGAUUCCAAGGCUCUGGACCCUAUCAACCCUGCAUCAGACAAGCGGCUGUAGAAAAUGGACAGAUGGAUGGAUGGAUGAUCCCUGCAGGAUGAUUUUGACUGUCCUUGGUGAUAUAUAAUUAUACAAGAUAGGUCAGAGCCUGAGACUUCUGCAGAACCCAUCACGCAGAUGACAGUGGAAGGCAUCCAAACUCGAUACUCCCUCGACUCAUUCCAGGGGUUUAUGUUAAACGCCAUUAUCUUGUCAGAUUUUAAGGACAGCCUGCGAAUACAAAGCAGACCUGGCAGAUGGGGAAGAACCCACUGUUACCUAAUCUAACUCCACGACACUGAAAAAGACAUUAGCUGCGGAUCAAUUAAGAU